rnacentral:rRNA from 1 species
GAUGAACGCUAGCUACAGGCUUAACACAUGCAAGUCGAGGGGCAGCAUGGUCUUAGCUUGCUAAGGCCGAUGGCGACCGGCGCACGGGUGAGUAACACGUAUCCAACCUGCCGUCUACUCUUGGACAGCCUUCUGAAAGGAAGAUUAAUACAAGAUGGCAUCAUGAGUCCACAUGUUCACAUGAUUAAAGGUAUUCCGGUAGACGAUGGGGAUGCGUUCCAUUAGAUAGUAGGCGGGGUAACGGCCCACCUAGUCUUCGAUGGAUAGGGGUUCUGAGAGGAAGGUCCCCCACAUUGGAACUGAGACACGGUCCAAACUCCUACGGGAGGCAGCAGUGAGGAAUAUUGGUCAAUGGGCGAGAGCCUGAACCAGCCAAGUAGCGUGAAGGAUGACUGCCCUAUGGGUUGUAAACUUCUUUUAUAAAGGAAUAAAGUCGGGUAUGGAUACCCGUUUGCAUGUACUUUAUGAAUAAGGAUCGGCUAACUCCGUGCCAGCAGCCGCGGUAAUACGGAGGAUCCGAGCGUUAUCCGGAUUUAUUGGGUUUAAAGGGAGCGUAGAUGGAUGUUUAAGUCAGUUGUGAAAGUUUGCGGCUCAACCGUAAAAUUGCAGUUGAUACUGGAUAUCUUGAGUGCAGUUGAGGCAGGCGGAAUUCGUGGUGUAGCGGUGAAAUGCUUAGAUAUCACGAAGAACUCCGAUUGCGAAGGCAGCCUGCUAAGCUGCAACUGACAUUGAGGCUCGAAAGUGUGGGUAUCAAACAGGAUUAGAUACCCUGGUAGUCCACACGGUAAACGAUGAAUACUCGCUGUUUGCGAUAUACAGCAAGCGGCCAAGUGAAAGCGUUAAGUAUUCCACCUGGGGAGUACGCCGGCAACGGUGAAACUCAAAGGAAUUGACGGGGGCCCGCACAAGCGGAGGAACAUGUGGUUUAAUUCGAUGAUACGCGAGGAACCUUACCCGGGCUUAAAUUGCAGAUGAAUUACGGUGAAAGCCGUAAGCCGCAAGGCAUCUGUGAAGGUGCUGCAUGGUUGUCGUCAGCUCGUGCCGUGAGGUGUCGGCUUAAGUGCCAUAACGAGCGCAACCCUUGUUGUCAGUUACUAACAGGUUCCGCUGAGGACUCUGACAAGACUGCCAUCGUAAGAUGUGAGGAAGGUGGGGAUGACGUCAAAUCAGCACGGCCCUUACGUCCGGGGCUACACACGUGUUACAAUGGGGGGUACAGAGGGCCGCUACCACGCGAGUGGAUGCCAAUCCCAAAAACCUCUCUCAGUUCGGACUGGAGUCUGCAACCCGACUCCACGAAGCUGGAUUCGCUAGUAAUCGCGCAUCAGCCACGGCGCGGUGAAUACGUUCCCGGGCCU